AUUGAACGCUGGCGGCAGGCCUAACACAUGCAAGUCGAACGGUAACAGAAAGCAGCUUGCUGCUUUGCUGACGAGUGGCGGACGGGUGAGUAAUGUCUGGGAAACUGCCUGAUGGAGGGGGAUAACUACUGGAAACGGUAGCUAAUACCGCAUAACGUCGCAAGACCAAAGAGGGGGACCUUCGGGCCUCUUGCCAUCGGAUGUGCCCAGAUGGGAUUAGCUAGUAGGUGGGGUAACGGCUCACCUAGGCGACGAUCCCUAGCUGGUCUGAGAGGAUGACAAGCCACACUGGAACUGAGACACGGUCCAGACUCCUACGGGAGGCAGCAGUGGGGAAUAUUGCACAAUGGGCGCAAGCCUGAUGCAGCCAUGCCGCGUGUAUGAAGAAGGCCUUCGGGUUGUAAAGUACUUUCAGCGGGGAGGAAGGGAGUAAAGUUAAUACCUUUGCUCAUUGACGUUACCCGCAGAAGAAGCACCGGCUAACUCCGUG
rnacentral:rRNA from 1 species